AGGCUGGUCUUGAACUCCCGACCUCAGGUGACCUGCCCUCCUUGGUCUCCCAAAGUGCUGGGAUUACAGGCGAGAGCCACUGCACCCAGCUGAAAAAAAAAAAAAAAAAAAGAAAAAAAGGUAAGUUGAAAGUUUAAAGCAAUGAUUCCGAAACUUGGCCACAUUAGAAUCACCUGGGAGGCUUCUGAAGCUUCUAUAUCAGGACUCACUCCAGGUCAAUUAAUUCAGAACCUCAGGGUGGAACCCAAAGCUUCAGUAUUUUUUAAAGCUGACUCCAGUGUGCAGCCAGACUUGAGAACCGCUGGUAUAACAAG
rnacentral:lncRNA from 1 species